CAUAUGCCUUGAGCAGCAAGAGCGAGGAGGCCUUGAAGAACCCACCUGUUAGGUGUGGCCGGCAGUCUUCUGCAGGAGUCCUUCCCUGGAUUGACUCAGCCACUGAAUUCCUUCUGCAGGGAUAAUGAGGAGCUGGCUUUAUGCUUUCUUAUUACAAGUGAGCUCUCACAUCUGGAGAGAGAAGGUGCGAAGUGACAUUUAUCGCUGUACACAGAAGAAAAUGAGCCAAGAAGUGCUGCAGGAGUUCAGAGGCGAGAGAGAGGAAUGUGGCCUGACAUGCACAGAUUUCAAGAAGGAGGUAGAGCUGAAGAUGGUCCUUUAGGGUGGGUGAACUUUACAAAAAGGAGAGAAAGGCUAAGUGUGUCCAGUAGCUCUAUGGUUUGACCCCAGGAUUUCAUUUAUAGUUCUGCUUGCUUUUGUUAUCUUGUUACUAUUCUGUCUCUUCCUGUAGAAGAGUCUGCUGACUGCUUAGCAAAAUCCACAUUCUCCUCUUCUUUCUGGGCUAGACUACAAUGAAGUAAGCGGAAAUCUGUUAAUUAUCUAUUGCUGCAUAACAGAGUACCUUGAAACGUCGUGGUUUAAAGCAACAAACUCUAUUAUCUCAUAGUUUCUAUGGGUCAGGCAUUUAGGAGCAUAUUAAUUAGGUCAGUUUGGUUCAGAGUCUCUUAUGAAGCUGCAGUUGAGGCGUGGGCUGGAACUACAGUCAUUUGUAGGUUUGCCAAGGCCUGAAGGCUCCACUCCUAAGAUGGCCCACUCACAUGGCUGUUGGUGGGAAGGAGGCCGUAUGGGUCUCUCCAUGGGGUUGCUUGAAUGUCCUCAUGAUAUGGCAGCUGGCUUCCCUUAAAGCAAGUGAUUCAAGAGACUAAGACUCAGCCUGGGAAGUCACACACUGUCAUUUCUGCAAUAUCUUAUCUGUUACAUAGGUCAGCCUCAUUUGCUGUGGGAGGGGGACUAUAUGUGAUCAUGAAUACCAGGAGGCAGGAUUCAUUGGGGCCAUCUUGAAGGCUGGCUACUGUAGGAUGUGCCAUCUGCCACUUUCAUGCUUGGUCCAUAAAAAUCUCUCAUGUGCUCCUUCAAUCUCCUUUCCUGUUCCAGCUGGCUGAAAUGAAAUGACUCCCAGGGAAACUUGGAACCCAUGUGUUGAAGGUGGUAGCACUUCCAUCAGCCUGGGUCCUGAGUGCCUGCAGGAGGAUAUCCUGUGGAUCCAUGUACCUGCUGAGGACUAGUAAGUGAGCAAGAAAUAAACUUCUCCUGCACUUGAGUCA
rnacentral:lncRNA from 13 species